GAGUUUGAUCAUGGCUCAGAAUCAACGCUGGCGGCGUGCCUCAGACAUGCAAGUCGAACGAUUAAAGCUCUCUUCGGAGAGUGUAUAGAGUGGCGCACGGGUGAGUAGCACGUAAGUAAUCUACCCUCGAGUGGGGAAUAACAUCGGGAAACCGAUGCUAAUACCGCAUAAUGCAGCGGCACCGCAAGGUGACAGUUGUUAAAGAUUUAUCGCUUGAGGAGGAGCUUGCGGCAGAUUAGCUAGUUGGUAAGGUAAUGGCUUACCAAGGCUACGAUCUGUAACCGGUCUAAGAGGACGGUCGGUCACACUGACACUGAAUAACGGGUCAGACUCCUACGGGAGGCAGCAGUCGGGAAUUUUGGGCAAUGGGCGAAAGCCUGACCCAGCAACGCCGCGUGAAGGAUGAAGUAUUUCGGUAUGUAAACUUCGAAAGAAUGGGAAGAAUCAAUGACGGUACCAUUUAUAAGGUCCGGCUAACUACGUGCCAGCAGCCGCGGUAAUACGUAGGGACCAAGCGCUGUUCGGAUUUACUGGGCGUAAAGGGCGCGUAGGCGGCCCUACAAGUCACUUGUGAAAUCUCCGGGCUUAACUCGGAACGGCCAAGUGAAACUGUAGAGCUAGAGUGUGGAAGGGGCAAUCCGAAUUCUUGGUGUAGCGGUGAAAUGCGUAGAUAUCAAGAGGAACACCUGAGGUGAAGACGGGUUGCUGGGCCAACACUGACGCUGAGGCGCGAAAGCCAGGGGAGCAAACGGGAUUAGAUACCCCGGUAGUCCUGGCCCUAAACGAUGAAUACUUGGUGUCUGGGGU
rnacentral:rRNA from 1 species